CGCUGCUGCGAAACGUGUGGGGCUGUGCUUUGAAGCUGCCUUUGAUUUCGGGUUGAGACGGAAAGGACUCUGUGAGACGUUUGGAUUAUGGAAUUGCGUUUUGAGGAUAUGGGCGCAGAAGUCACGAAGAGUUUACUUUGUUAUUGAGAUGCUCUAUGUUGCUUUAGAUUAUUAUUUUGUACCCUCGCCUUUAUCUUGAUAUAUUCUGUAAGAGGGAUAGGAAUUGUAUUGGAUUAUGCUUGUAAUAAUAUUUAUAUAUGUAUGUAUAUAUACAUGUAUGUACUCUUUAUGAGUUUCUGUAAGUUGUAUGGUAUGUAUGGAUGUGCGUUGUAUAGCAAAAGUAUUUUUGGGAGCGGUA